AGUACCCUGUGGCAAGGAAGAAGCCAUGGAGAGACGGAUCUGUGUUGCAUUCCUGGCCGUUUGUCUCCUGCUGCUGGGAGGCACUCAGGCAGCUCCCCUGAAUUCACACAGCUUUGAUGAUAAUGUGGCCGGGGAUGGCAGCUUCAACAACAAUGGGAAUGGCCUUGAGCCCCCUGUCAUCUAUG